AACGAACGCUGGUGGCAUGCCUAGCACAUGCAAGUCGAACGAAGCCUUCGGGCUUAGUGGCGCACGGGUGCGUAACACGUGGGAAUCUGCCCUUCGGUUCGGAAUAACAGUUAGAAAUGACUGCUAAUACCGGAUGAUGACGUAAGUCCAAAGAUUUAUCGCCGAAGGAUGAGCCCGCGUAGGAUUAGGUAGUUGGUAGGGUAAUGGCCUACCAAGCCGACGAUCCUUAGCUGGUCUGAGAGGAUGAUCAGCCACACUGGGACUGAGACACGGCCCAGACUCCUACGGGAGGCAGCAGUGGGGAAUAUUGGACAAUGGGCGAAAGCCUGAUCCAGCAAU
rnacentral:rRNA from 1 species